rnacentral:rRNA from 1 species
GAAAACUCUACAAUGCAGGCAACUGCGAUAGGGGGACAUCGAGUGGCAUCCACCUUGGGUGCCUGUCCCACCGUCUAAAAAACGGUGGUUAGCAAGGGCCGGGCAAGACCGGUGCCAGCCGCCGCGGUAAUACCGGCGGCUCGAGUGGUGGCCGAUAUUAUUGAGUCUAAAGGGUCCGUAGCCGGCUUUGCAAGUCCCCUGGGAAAUCCAGCGGCUUAACCGUUGGGCUUUCAUGGGAUACUACAUUGCUUGGGACUGGGAGAGGUAGGAGGUACUCGGGGGGUAGGGGUGAAAUCCUGUAAUCCCCCGGGGACCACCGGUGGCGAAGGCGUCCUACCAGAACAGGUCCGACGGUGAGGGACGAAAGCUAGGGGCACGAACCGGAUUAGAUACCCGGGUAGUCCUAGCCGUAAACGAUGCCCGCUAGGUGUCACGGCGGUCGUGAAUCGCCGUGGUGCCGUAGGGAAGCCGCGAAGCGGGCCACUUGGGAAGUACGGCCGCAAGGCUGAAACUUAAAGGAAUUGGCGGGGGAGCAC